rnacentral:misc_RNA from 1 species
GACGAAGAACGCAGCGAAAUGCGAUAAGUAAUGUGAAUUGCAGAAUUCAGUGAAUCAUCGAAUCUUUGAACGCACAUUGCGCCCCUUGGUAUUCCGAGGGGCAUGCCUGUUCGAGCGUCAUUAUAACCCCUCAAGCUCAGCUUGGUGUUGGGGCCUGCUGCACUGGCAGCCCUUAAAAUCAGUGGCGGCGCCAUCUGGCUCUAAGCGUAGUAAUUCUUCUCGCUAUGGAGUCCUGGUGGAUGCUUGCCAUCAACCCCCAAUUUUUCUAUGGUUGACCUCGGAUCAGGUAGGGAUACCCGCUGAACUUAAGCAUAUCAAUAAGCGGAGGA